rnacentral:rRNA from 1 species
GAUGAACGCUGGCGGCGUGCCUAAUACAUGCAAGUCGAGCGAACGGACGAGAAGCUUGCUUCUCUGAUGUUAGCGGCGGACGGGUGAGUAACACGUGGAUAACCUACCUAUAAGACUGGGAUAACUUCGGGAAACCGGAGCUAAUACCGGAUAAUAUUUUGAACCGCAUGGUUCAAAAGUGAAAGACGGUCUUGCUGUCACUUAUAGAUGGAUCCGCGCUGCAUUAGCUAGUUGGUAAGGUAACGGCUUACCAAGGCAACGAUGCAUAGCCGACCUGAGAGGGUGAUCCGCCACACUGGAACUGGGACACGGUCCAGACUCCUACGGGAGGCAGCAGGAGGGAAUCUUCCGCAAUGGGCGAAAGCCUGACGGAGCAACGCGGCGUGAGUGAUGAAGGUCUUCGGAUCGUAAAACUCUUUUAUUAGGGAAGAACAUAUGUGUAAGUAACUGUGCACAUCUUGACGGUACCUAAUCAGAAAGCCACGGCUAACUACGUG